rnacentral:rRNA from 1 species
ACACAUGCAAGUCGAGGGGCAGCAUGAUUGAAGCUUGCUUCAAUUGAUGGCGACCGGCGCACGGGUGAGUAACGCGUAUCCAACCUUCCGUACACUCAGGGAUAGCCUUUCGAAAGAAAGAUUAAUACCCGAUGGUAUGAUGAGAUUGCAUGAUAGCAUCAUUAAAGAUUUAUCGGUGUACGAUGGGGAUGCGCUCCAUUAGGUAGUAGGCGGGGUAACGGCCCACCUAGCCGACGAUGGAUAGGGGUUCUGAGAGGAAGGUCCCCCACAUUGGAACUGAGACACGGUCCAAACUCCUACGGGAGGCAGCAGUGAGGAAUAUUGGUCAAUGGACGAGAGUCUGAACCAGCCAAGUAGCGUGAAGGAUGAAGGUCCUACGGAUUGUAAACUUCUUUUAUAAGGGAAUAAAACCUCCCACGUGUGGGAGCUUGUAUGUACCUUAUGAAUAAGCAUCGGCUAACUCCGUGCCAGCAGCCGCGGUAAUACGGAGGAUGCGAGCGUUAUCCGGAUUUAUUGGGUUUAAAGGGAGCGCAGACGGGUCGUUAAGUCAGCUGUGAAAGUUUGGGGCUCAACCUUAAAAUUGCAGUUGAUACUGGCGUCCUUGAGUGCGGUUGAGGUGUGCGGAAUUCGUGGUGUAGCGGUGAAAUGCUUAGAUAUCACGAAGAACUCCGAUUGCGAAGGCAGCACACUAAGCCGUAACUGACGUUCAUGCUCGAAAGUGUGGGUAUCAAACAGGAUUAGAUACCCUGGUAGUCCACACGGUAAACGAUGGAUACUCGCUGUUGGCGAUAUACGGUCAGCGGCUUAGCGAAAGCGU